rnacentral:rRNA from 1 species
UACGUAGGUGACAAGCGUUGUCCGGAUUUACUGGGCGUAAAGAGCGCGCAGGCGGUCGUUUAAGUCGGAUGUGAAAGCCCCCGGCUUAACUGGGGAGGGUCAUUCGAUACUGAUCGACUUGAAGGCAGGAGAGGGAAGCAGAAUUCCCGGUGUAGUGGUGAAAUGCGUAGAUAUCGGGAGGAAUACCAGUGGCGAAGGCGGCUUCCUGGCCUGUUCUUGACGCUGAGGCGCGAAAGCUGGGGGAGCAAACGGG